AUACGUAGGGGGCGAGCGUUGUCCGGAAUGAUUGGGCGUAAAGGGCGCGUAGGCGGCCCGGUAAGUCUGGAGUGAAAGUCCUGUUUUUAAGAUGGGAAUUGCUUUGGAUACUGUCGGGCUUGAGUGCAGGAGAGGUAAGUGGAAUUCCCAGUGUAGCGGUGAAAUGCGUAGAGAUUGGGAGGAACUCCAGUGGCGAAGGCGACUUACUGGACUGUAACUGACGCUGAGGCGCGAAAGUGUGGGGAGCAAACAGGAUUAGAUACCCUGGUAGUCCACACUGUAAACGAUGAAUGCUAGGUGUAGGGGGUAUCGACCCCUUCUGUGCCGCAGUCAACACAAUAAGCAUUCCGCCUGGGGAGUACGGCCGCAAGGUUGAAACUCAAAUGAAUUGGCGGGG
rnacentral:rRNA from 1 species